UCAGGGCUGCAAGGACUGAUAAGGGCUGAAGCAGCGAGGUAGACUGGAGCGCAAGUGGAGAAAGACUCGGCUCGAAUCUGACCGAUUGCGACACAGAGCACAUUUGAAGAUCUAUGUUCAGGCAAUAGGUGUGGCAAAGAAGUGAUUCUUUUCAGCCCGUAUUGCAUCUGCAAGCUCACGACCGGCGGAGCUGUCCAGGGUUGUGAGAGGACUAGUAUGUGCCUCUCCUCCCUUGAAUCAGAAUCUGGAACCAUCGAUUACCCGCUCUGACCUGUUUAAUGAAUUCUUGUGGGGAAAAUCUCUCGUAUUCAGGCCAACUUAGACUCCAUCUCCACAAUUACUUCAGUGUCUGAUGCAGAGGUGUCCAGCGACUCCUCUUGUGUGGUUAGGUCGGAUCAGUUCCAGUUUGUGACUCCUGAGGAUGUGGACAAGCUGAUUGGAACGGUGCGGCCUACCACCUGUUCUCUUGACCUUUGCCCAACAUGGCUUAUACUAUCUGCCAGUGGGGUGGUUGUAGAGGGCCUGGUAGAGAUUAUAAAUGCUUCUCUGAGGGAAGGUAGGAUGCCUUCUUGUCUUAAAGAGGCAAUUAUUAAACCACUUCCAAAGAAGCCUACCUUGGAUCCCUCAGAGUUGAGCAACUACAGGCCUUAACUUUUGUAUGGUGUGCCUCAGGACUCAAUAUUGUCUCCGAUGUUGUUUUAACAUUUACAUCAAACCGCUGGGAGAGAUCAUCAGGAGAUUUGGUGCAGGGUGCUUUCAGUAUGCUGAUGACACCCAAAUCUAUUUCUCCAUGUCAGCAUCAUCAGGAGAGGGCAUAACCUCCCUAAAUGCCUGCCUGGAGUCGGUGAUGGGCUGGAUGAGGGAUAACAAACUGAGACUAAAUCCAGAUAAGACGGCUUUACUCAUUGUCCUGGGUCAAAACCCGGGAGAUGGGUUUAUUCUGCCUGCUCUGGAUGGGGUCACACUUCCCCAGAAGGAACAGGUACACUGUCUAGGGGUGCUUCUGGAUCCGAGCCUCUCCCUUGGUUGAGGCUGUGGCCAGAAGUGCCUUCUAUCAGCUACGGCUGAUAUGUCAGCUGUGUCAGUUUCUUGAGAUAAAUGACCUCAGAACAGUAGUACAUCUGCUGGUCAACUCCAGACUGGAUUGCGGCAAUGUGCUCUAUGUGGGGCUGCCCUUGUAUGUAGUCCGGAAACUACUGUUGGUCCAAAAUGUGGCAGCCAGGUUGGUCUCUGAAUCAUCUUGGAGAGACCAUAUUGCUCCCACAUUGAAGGAGCUACACUGGCUGCUGAUAUGUUUCCAGGCAAAAUACAAGGUGUUGGUUAAACCUAAAAAGCCCUAAACGGCUUGGGCCCUGGGUAUUUAAGAGAAGGUCGUCUUCAUCAUGAACUCCACCGCCCACUGAGAUCAUCAGAAAAGGUCCGUCUGCAGUUGCCACCAGCUCAUCUGGUGGCUACUCGGGGACGGGCCUUCUCCGCUGCUGCCCCAAAGCUUUGGAACACGCUCCCUGCUGAAAUAAGAGCCUCCCCAUCUCUGACAACUUUUAAAAAGUCUUUAAAGACACAUCUGUUCACCCAGGCUUUUAAUUAAAUAUUGUUUUAAUAGUUUUAAUACUGUUUUAAAAUAUUAUUUUAAUCACAUUAAAUUGUUGUAACGUUUUAAUUUUUUGUUCUUUUGUUUUAACAAAUGUUAUACUUUUUCUGUUUUUACGUUGUUGUAAACUGCCCAGAGAUGUAAGUUUGGGGCAGUAUAAACAUAGGUUACAUAAAAUAAAUAAAAUAAAUAAAAAUAGAGCAGUAAGCAUUGGGAGUGGCACCUUCCUGGGACUGUUCUGUGGCAACAGUUCAAGACUGUUCCUGCACUUCAGUCUGGAGGGCAUGGAUGUUUGCUGGGGGCUGCCUUGGCUUGGGAGGCCUGUUGCCUUCCUGUUAGUGCCGGAGUUUCCAGUCUUGGCUCCCCAGAUAUUGCUGGACCGCAACUCCCAUCACCCUCCAUCACAAUGGCCUUUGCUGUGGAUGAUUACUAUGAUCAUUCAUGCAUUCGUUCGUUCAUUCAUUCAUUUGAUUUCUAUGCCGCCCUUCCAAAAUUGGCUCAGGGCAGUUUACACAGAGAAAUAACAAACAAAUAAGAUGGACCCCUGUCCCCAAAGGGCUCACAAUCUAAAUGGGAGUCAAAGUCCAGCAGCAUCUGCAGACUCAGGGGUAAGAACUCCUGUGUUAGUAGAAUCAGUGCUGUGUAUUCCUCCAUUGGGUGCAGUUGGAGAAAAACUGCAGAAUGUGGAUGUCCACAUCUUGGACACAGAAUCCAGCUUCCUGAGAACUUCAGCUUGACUUUUAAACACGCGUUUCUAAUCCUUAUGGCUGCAAAGAUACAUUGGCGUGAUGGUAUCUGUGUAUGUGUACAUGCACGUGUGUGCUGCCCAAUGCCUGAGGGAAUCUUAGAAGCCAGACAUGGUUAUCUGGCCGAGGUGGGGUUUUGGUGCUCUUCCCCAAGAUAAAGUAAGCAAAACUAUUAAGAUAUGAAUGCAUAAUUGACUAAGGCGGCACAACUCUAUUUAGCAGAGGACACGGCUAUGUUUCCCCCACCCCUCCCCUCAUAAGAACAGUCCUGCUGGAUCAGGCCAAAGGAAGCCCAUCUAGUCCAGCAUCCUGUUUCUCACAGUGGCCCACCAGAUGCCUCUGGAAGCCACAGGCAGGUGUUGAGGGCAUGCCCUCUCUCCUGCUAUUACUCCCCUGCAACUGGUACUCAGAGGCAUCCUACCUCUGAGGCUGGAGAUUGUCUAUAGCCCUCCAACUAGUAGCUGUUGAUAGACCUCUCCUCCAUGAAGUUAUCCAAACCCCUCUUAAAGCCAUCCAGGUUGUUGACUGUCACCACAUCUUGUGGCAGAGAAUGCCACAAGUUGAUGAUGCAUUGUAUGAAAAAGUACUUCCGUUUGUUGGCCCUAGAUUUCCCGGCAAUCAAUUUCAGGGGUUGACCCCUGGUUCUAGUGUUAUGUAGACAUGUUCCAAGAUAUACAUAUACAUAUACUCGGGAUGUAGUAUAUGCGCUUAAAUGUGCAUGCCCCAAACUGUAUAUAGGUAAGAGUAUACGUAAAGUGAGAUCUAGAAUCUUGGAACAUAAAUCUAGAGUGAGGACAUGUCAUAGCGAGUCACCCAUAGUAGCCCAUUUUUUAGAAAAGGGACAUACAUGUGAUGAAUUCAAAUUCUUUGUCCUUUUUAAAUACACACCGCGAAGAUUCAGCUAUGAAGAUAUGAAUACUACAUUAUUAAGGAAAGAGGCGUUCUUCAUACACCUGUUUAAGAUUUAUGUUGGAGGUCUUAAUACCAAUCAAGAUCUUUCAUGAUUUUGGGGAGAACAUUAGGAAAGAGAGGAAUGCACACAGUUACUUUGGAAUAUCUAUGGAUGCUGUUAUCAUGAGUUUUACAGAAUCAGGAGAGAAAGAAGAAGCUACCUGAUUAAUUUGGUAAAAGGACGCAGCUGUGGGUCAUUAAAACUUAGCGUGCUUAAUUGGGGAUCAGUUUAAAAAGGAAGGAUGAGCGCAGAGAUUCUAAGCAUGUCUCCACAGGUGUAUUAGUCUAAACACCGUGGUAAGAUAAGGCCGGUAACAGAAUGUAAGCAUACAUUGCUUAUACUUAAAAUGGUUUAUCUGAAGAAGUAACAAUUAGUUAUGAAACAGAUUAAUAUCUGGAAAAUCUGUAAUAUUGCAUAACGUUCGCUGUACUGCACAUGGAUUUGGCUUUGAAAGCGUAAGAUUAAAUUACGCAGAUUGUCUCCACUUGGAAUAUAUGGAGAAGGAGACGUAUCAUAUUACUGAAUUAAGAAGAGAAACAUCCUCCCCACUGGAUUCCAUGGGAUUUGCACUUCUACUGUGAACUAAUACAUCUACAGGAUAAGAACUGUUUAUCCCUAUAUGGGAAGUUGUAACAUACAUCUGGGGGAAUACUGCUUGUUAUAUAUAUGUUUAUGCACUUUGUCAUAUCCAGCGUGUAAGCCACUUUGGCUCUGAUAUGUUUAUCAGAUAAAUUUAUUGUGGAAGUUAA